rnacentral:lncRNA from 12 species
AUGCAUGGGGCCAGUUUCCUCCCAGGACCCUUGUCUUGGAGGGUGGCUCUAAUCCCAGAUCACUGGAGUCCUCGUGCUACAGAGCUCCUCAACCCUACUCAGGAUGUUGUUCUUCAUACCUGUGGUCAGCACAUGCCUGAAGAAGACAACUGUACCCACCAGCUUCACUCCUUCCAGGCCAAGCCAUGCUUUUCCCUGAAGACAAGGAGAAAGGGCACAAAGAGUCAUAGAGCAGAGGGUUAAUCUCCCCAGGUACCUCACUAGAGAUCAUCUGGCCCUGAAUGUCGCUGGGACGGGACACUGAAAUCUCAAGUGGUGACAUGAUCUGAAUAGAAUCUUACAGCUGGCUAGGAAAAGCUGGCUGGAAACCAGGCCUCAUUCCUGAACCUGUCGUCUUUUCGACUCCAGGGUCCCUGCUCCAUUGUCUGCUGGAACCUCGGCUCCAGCCCUGUCUCCAUUUUAGCCUCAUUGCAAUGAAACCAGAGCUCCUGGCUUCUAUCCGCAGUGGCCCAUGAAGGAAAGAAAGGGGAACUGAAGGUUUGUGAACACGAUGGCACUAAGCCUCCAACCGAAUCUCUCUCCCUUCUGCUUAACACAAACCCAAGCCGGCAGAGGAAAGCCAUAGUGAGGUCACUGCAUUCCUGGGGGAUAAAGAGCAUCUUUGUCCACUCCUGCCAGUCCUCUUGCUCCGGGCUGACUCAGGCUGGCAGGCUCCAGCUGAACAUUCUCUCCCUGCUGAAAAAUGAGCAUUCUCAGAAUCUCAGGACACACACAGCCAUGGAAAAAGGAAGUACAUGCAAACGCAGAGAGCUAUGCAGGCACAGACACACUUAAGUACACCUCACCAAUGGGAGCAAAUACUGAAGAAUAAACAUACCUGACCUAAAGACCA